rnacentral:rRNA from 1 species
AGUCACUGACAUUAGAUACCCCUGUAGUCCAGGGUGUAAACGCUGCAGACUUGGUGUUGGGAACCCUUCGGGGGUGCUCAGUGCCGGAGAGAAGUUGUUAAGUCUGCUACUUGGGGAGUACGUCCGCAAGGAUGAAACUUAAAGGAAUUGGCGGGGGAGCACCACAACGCGUGGAGCCUGCGGUUUAAUUGGAUUCAACGCCGGACAUCUCACCAGGAGCGACAGCAGAAUGAUAAUCAGGUUGAUGACCUUAUUUGACUAGCUG